rnacentral:rRNA from 1 species
GACAGAGGUGCCGAGCGUUAGGCGGAAUCACUGGGCUUAAAGCGCGUGUAGGCGGGCGGGCGCGUCGGCCGCUGAAAUCCCCCGGCUCAACCGGGGAAGGGGCGCCGAGACGGCCGGCCUGGAGGGACGUAGGGGGGGCUGGAACUUCCGGUGGAGCGGUGAAAUGCGUUGAGAUCGGAAGGAACGCCCGUGGCGAAAGCGAGCCCCUGGACGUCUACUGACGCUGAGACGCGAAAGCCAGGGGAGCGAACGGG